UGGUCCUUCCCCUCUCCCCACCAGCAGCAGCUGUUCUACAUGGAACAUCUUGUGUUACCUCAUAUACUUUGGUCAUCAUAGGGAGGAACAACCUUACAGCAGACAUCCUGGGCCUCUGGCUCUGACAAUCUUUUCGCUUCCUCUUCCAUGAUGCUGCCUGGACCUUAGGGCUGGAUCUUCAACGAUUAUGGACCCUGUGAAAGCAUCUUGACCACCUCAAGCCUGCUUCAUCGCUGGUCAACCUAGACAGAGUCAAUAUCCGUAUUCCAAACUAAUUCCAAGUCAUGAGGGCAAAUGUAUUUCCAAGUAGCGAAGUGUAUCCAAACUAUGAAUAUGACUGUAGAUGGAAGAUUUUAGGAAAGAGCUGCUGCCAUGUUCACAGUAAGUAACACUCAUGACAAAACACUCAACACAGAGAAAUACAGAUAUCAGUUUUUCAUUGAGACAUAAUGCCAGGCUGCACAGUCUGGGAAUGGCUUAAAAUUGAGGUGUAUUCACCUAUGUAGUGAUGAAAUAUUUUCCUGUGCUUCGGUGAAGAGAGGACCUGUAUGUUCCAAUGAAAUGACACACUUCAUGUGUUAUUUAUCUGGAUCUAUGAAAUGCUAUAACAAAAUGAAAAGGGAUUCUAUAGAGUCACACACACACACACACAAACAUGAGGCAAAUUCACUUUGUAGUGUCGAAGCCUACAGUGCUGUUGUAUGUAAUAACAGUUCUAUUUCUUUAAUUAUCUCUGUAGCAAACAAAUAGAGAAUUAAACAUACAAAAGAGAUAAUACUGAAUGCCAUGGCAAUACAGCAAACUGAAGAAUCACAUAAAAUACAAUCAACCUCAAGGCCAGAAUCAUUGAGUGUAAAGAAUACUCAAAUGUAGAAGGAAAAGGUUUUAUAUGCUUUUUUCUCUAAAUAUAUAAUAUAUCAUAUCAUGGUGCACGAGGCUGCAACAUGAAUAUUUAUUUGAUUUACAUAAUGCAAACCAAAGGCUUCAUCUGUAAGUGAACAACAUUAUAAAACUAUGACAAAUGCACUGCUUAUUGCCAAGGGCACCACAAGCCUCACAAAGCCAGUUUCUGUUCACUAAGCAAAACAAAGAAAUGAAUAAAGUAUGCUUUUUUAUAUAGAACCUGCAUGGUCAUCCUCUUACCAACAUUCCUGGAAGCAUCUCCAUUACAGCUGAA